GACGUAGGGUGCGAGCGUUGUCCGGAUUUAUUGGGCGUAAAGAGCUCGUAGGCGGCUCGUCGCGUCGACCGUGAAAACCCGCGGCUUAACUGCGGGCUUGCGGUUGAUACGGGCGGGCUAGAGUUCGGUAGGGGAGACUGGAAUUCCUGGUGUGCGGUGAAAUGCGCAGAUAUCAGGAGGAACACCGGUGGCGAAGGCGGGUCUCUGGGCCGAUACUGACGCUGAGGAGCGAAAGCGUGGGGAGCGAACAGG
rnacentral:rRNA from 1 species